rnacentral:rRNA from 1 species
AGUUGAUCCUGGCUCAGGAUGAACGCUGGCGGCGUGCUUAACACAUGCAAGUCGAACGAAGCAACUUAUUACGAUCCCUUCGGGGUGACGAUUUGUUGACUGAGUGGCGGACGGGUGAGUAACGCGUGGGUAACCUGCCUCGUACAGGGGGACAACAGUUGGAAACGGCUGCUAAUACCGCAUAAGCGCACAGUAUCGCAUGGUACAGUGUGAAAAACUCCGGUGGUACGAGAUGGACCCGCGUCUGAUUAGCUAGUUGGUGAGGUAACGGCCCACCAAGACCGCGAUCCAUAGCCGACCUGAGAGGGUGAUCGGCCACAUUGGGACUGAGACACGGCCCAAACUCC